UGAGUAAUGUCUGGGAAGCUGCCUGAUGGAGGGGGAUAACUACUGGAAACGGUAGCUAAUACCGCAUAACGUCGCAAGACCAAAGAGGGGGACCUUCGGGCCUCUUGCCAUCAGAUGUGCCCAGAUGGGAUUAGCUAGUAGGUGGGGUAAGGGCUCACCUAGGCGACGAUCCCUAGCUGGUCUGAGAGGAUGACCAGCCACACUGGAACUGAGACACGGUCCAGACUCCUACGGGAGGCAGCAGUGGGGAAUAUUGCACAAUGGGCGCAAGCCUGAUGCAGCCAUGCCGCGUGUGUGAAGAAGGCCUUCGGGUUGUAAAGCACUUUCAGCGAGGAGGAAGGUGGUGAACUUAAUACGUUCAUCAAUUGACGUUACUCGCAGAAGAAGCACCGGCUAACUCCGUGCCAGCAGCCGCGGUAAUACGGAGGGUGCAAGCGUUAAUCGGAAUUACUGGGCGUAAAGCGCACGCAGGCGGUUUGUUAAGUCAGAUGUGAAAUCCCCGGG
rnacentral:rRNA from 1 species